UACGGGGGGAGCAAGCGUUGUUCGGAUUUACUGGGCGUAAAGGGCGCGUAGGCGGUAGCACAAGUCAGUUGUGAAAUCUCCGGGCUUAACUCGGAAAGGUCAACUGAUACUGUGCGACUAGAGUGCAGAAGGGGCAACUGGAAUUCUCGGUGUAGCGGUGAAAUGCGUAGAUAUCGAGAGGAACACCUGCGGCGAAGGCGGGUUGCUGGGCUGACACUGACGCUGAUGCGCGAAAGCCAGGGGAGCGAGCGGG
rnacentral:rRNA from 1 species